CCCAAAGUGCUGGGAUUACAGGCGUGAGCCACCGCUCCCGGCCAGAAAUAAUAAACUUUACCAUGUCAAAGGUGAAGAAAGAUAGUGAAGGUACAAGUCGGUGAUUAAAGUGCAGAACAACUUCCCCAAUACAGGAAUCCAGCUUCUGAAAAUAUCUGUGCUGGAAAACUUGCAAUGGAGGAAUGGAAGACUUGAGAAAGGGAGGGCUGGGAAACAAGAGCUGUGACUCACCCUGAAGACAUUCUUAUUCCCAACCUAUAUAACUCACAUACACUGGAGGAAAUAUCUUCAUGGAAUUAAAACCACAUGGAGUAACAUUUCACGUAAGCAGAAUUCAGGAAGGAUUUCAGUAAUUCCAUCCCAAACACACACAGGCAAAGGGAGUGAAGAUUUCUUCAGCAACAUGGUGGCAGAAAGAUCAUGAAAAGAUCUAGGCCAGGCAAGUAUGCAAACAAGACUGACUCUUCCUUUCCACUGGAGCUUUGGGUAAUUGCUCUGACAAUUCUAUGAUUUGCUGAAGCCACAGAAAAUCAGUUUUAAAACAGGAUUUCUACCCCUGGCUCACUACAUGACAAAUAAUUUUAUCCUGUAAUCUUCUGAUGUUAAACAAAGAUGGCCCUCAAUGUAAUUGUUACAGUGCCUCCUCCCCACUUCUGUUAGCUGUUGCUUCUCUGCCUCCCACGAGUUUAGUGUAAUCCCAGAACUUUGGGAGACCAAGGAGGGCAGAUCACUUGAGGUCAGGAGUCAGAGACCAGCCUGGCCAA
rnacentral:lncRNA from 1 species